GAUGAACGCUGGCGGCGUGCCUAAUACAUGCAAGUCGAGCGAACAGACGAGGAGCUUGCUCCUCUGACGUUAGCGGCGGACGGGUGAGUAACACGUGGAUAACCUACCUAUAAGACUGGGAUAACUUCGGGAAACCGGAGCUAAUACCGGAUAAUAUAUUGAACCGCAUGGUUCAAUAGUGAAAGACGGUUUUGCUUUCACUUAUAGAUGGAUCCGCGCCGCAUUAGCGAGUUGGUAAGGUAACGGCUUACCAAGGCAACGACGCGUAGCCGACCUGAGAGGGAGGUCGGCCACACUGGAACUGAGACACGGUCCCGACUCCUACGGGAGGACGCAGUAGGGAAUCUUCCGCAAUGGGCGAAAGCCUGACGGAGCAACGCCGCAUGAGUGAUGAAGGUCUUCGGAUCGUAAAACUCUGUUAUUAGGGAAGAACAAAUGUGUAAGUAACUAUGCACGUCUUGACGGUACCUAAUCAGAAAGCCACGGCUAACUACGUG
rnacentral:rRNA from 1 species